rnacentral:rRNA from 1 species
UAAUAGCGUGGGAUCUACCUGGUAGUGGGGGACAACAGUUGGAUACGACUGCUAAUACCGCAUACGCCCUACGGGGGAAAGCGGGGGAUCUUCGGACCUCGUGCUAUCAGAUGAGCCCGCGUGAGAUUAGCUUGUUGGUGGGGUAAUGGCCUACCAAGGCGACGAUCUCUAGCUGGUCUGAGAGGAUGAUCAGCCACACUGGGACUGAGACACGGCCCAGACUCCUACGGGAGGCAGCAGUGGGGAAUAUUGGACAAUGGGCGCAAGCCUGAUCCAGCCAUGCCGCGUGUGUGAAGAAGGCCUUCGGGUUGUAAAGCACUUUCCGCGAGGAGGAAAGGUUAAGUGUUAAUAGCACUUAGCUGUGACGUUACUCGCAGAAAAAGCACCGGCUAACUCCGUGCCAGCAGCCGCGGUAAUACCGAGGGUGCAAGCGUUAAUCGGAAUUACUGGGCGUAAAGCGCGCCUACGUUGUUUGUUAAACGAGAUGUGAAAGCCCCGGGCUCCACCUGGGAACUGUUUUUCGAACUGGCAAACUUAAUAACAGAAAAGGGGGGCGGAAAUUUCUUGUGUAGACGUGAAAUGCUUAAAAUGGGAAAGAACAUCCGUGGGCAAAGCGGCCCCCCUGAACUGAUACUGACACUGUAGUGCGAAAACGUGGGGGGCAAACAGGAUUAAAUACCCCGGUAAUCCCCCCCC